UACGUAGGGUGCAAGCGUUGUCCGGAAUUAUUGGGCGUAAAGAGCUCGUAGGCGGUUUGUUGCGUCGGCUGUGAAAUCCCGAGGCUCAACCUCGGGUCUGCAGUCGAUACGAGCAAACUAGAGUGUUGCAGGGGAGACUGGAAUUCCUGGUGUAGCGGUGAAAUGCGCAGAUAUCAGGAGGAACACCGGUGGCGAAGGCGGCCCGCUGGGAUACUUGCUGACGCUGAGGCGCGACAGCGUGGGGAGCAAACAGG
rnacentral:rRNA from 1 species